rnacentral:misc_RNA from 1 species
UCUUCGUAGGUGAACCUGCGGAGGGAUCAUUACUGAGUGAGGGCUUCGGUCCGACCUCCAACCCUUUGUGAACCAAAAUUGUUGCUUCGGGGGCGCCCCUGCCGCUUCGGCGGUGCGGCGCCCCCGGAGGCCAUUAAACACUGCAUCAUUGCGUCGGAGUUAAAGUAAAUUAAACAAAACUUUCACCACCGGAUCUCUUGGUUCCAGCAUCUAUGAAGAACGCAGC